GGGUAGUCACGGCUUGAGUUCUUCGCUGGGACCCCGAUUUGGUUUAUUAAGCGAAAGUCCGGCUUGAGUUCUUCGCUGGCACCAGGCCACAGGAGGAGUUAUUUUACAGAGCAACCUGUUUUCUUCCUCGCAGGUUUAACGUCGAUUAUUUAAUUGUUUUACUAUCUUUUCUAAAUUUAAAAUCUAGAACUCCGCAUGUGUUAGUAAUAGUAUGGACCUUGUUAGAAAUUGUGUUAAAUUUAAAAUUUUGAGAUUAAUAAAUGAAGAUUUGUAUGGUAUUUAAA